UCCUUUUCUUGCUUCGGUAAGGAGAGGGAGUGGCGGACGGGUGAGUAAGACAUGGGUGACCUGCCCUAAAGUGAGGGAUACCGGCGAGAAAUUGCCGACAAGCCCGCAUGAGCUCUGUUUGGUAGAGCGGACAGAGCAAAGGUUUCCGCAAGGGAGCUGCUUUGGGAUGGGCCUGUGGCCGAUUAGCUAGUUGGUGGGGUAAGAGCCUACCAAGGCGACGAUCGGUAGCUGGUCUGAGAGGACGAUCAGCCACACUGGGAUUGAGAACGGCCCAGACUCCUACGGGGGGCAGCAGUGAGGAAUUUUCCGCAAUGGGCGCAAGCCUGACGGAGCAACGCCGCGUGCAGGAGGACGCUUUUCGGA
rnacentral:rRNA from 1 species